UCACAUCUAUAUGGAUCGCCAUCUUGGCGAAAAAGUUUUAUUUUUGCCAAAACGAGUAGGUACCUCUAUUUCUGCGAGUGUCUUAAUGUGGGACCUCGGGUUCGUAAGUGCAACAACAUUGGCGCCGUCUGAAAUGUAGGGACACAUUACCUUCCGAACUUCAAAGAACCUCUUUACAGGAAAACGGCGAUGAAAAGCCAAUAUUUUCAAGUUAAACGGAAAAAACACACUCAAAAUUGUUUUCUAGUGGAAGUAGCUUCAAAAUUACAUUAAAAUAAUAUGACAUUUUAUUGAUUUACGAAAAAUGUUAGGUUUGUUCAAUCCUCUCUGUUUCUUGCCUCAUACUCGAAAUACUGCUAAUGCUAGUUAAUGAACUCUCACUCCAAAAAAAAAUGACAUUUUAAUCAUCGCUAUUGCAUUUUUUUCGGAUAUACAGAUUAAACUAAUUCAAGAAUCAUUUGGGGCGACCAACUGGUGAUAGCCACCUUAAAAAAUGAGUUCGAAGUUUCAAUUGCAAUUGUUUAAAGACAACACCAUUGUAACUGGCUGUUUCACCCCAGAAAUGGGCCAAUAGUUCGCACAGAGGCAGUUAUGUAAGAAAUAGAUUCACAGGUACAAUUUUUAAAGUAUAUUUUUUUAACACAGAAACAUAAAAUUAAGAAAAAAAAAUCUACUAAAAUUACACACAUUCAUAUUCUUAGUAAACAAUAUUAUGUAGUACUGACGAAAUAUAGAGUACCUACUUUAUAUUAUAUUAAA